GGAAUAUUGGUCAAUGGACGCAAGUCUGAACCAGCCAAGUAGCGUGCAGGAUGACGGCCCUAUGGGUUGUAAACUGCUUUUAUACGGGGAUAAAGUGACCCACGUGUGGGUUUUUGUAGGUCCCGUAUGACUACGGACCGGCUAAUUCCGUGCCAGCAGCCGCGGUAAUACGGAAGGUCCGGGCGUUAUCCGGAUUUAUUGGGUUUAAAGGGAGCGCAGGCCGGCUGGUAAGCGUGACGUGAAAUGUAGCUGCUCAACAUCUGCACUGCGUCGCGAACUGUCAGCCUUGAGUGAGUUCGAUGUUGGCGGAAUUCGUGGUGUAGCGGUGAAAUGCUUAGAUAUCACGAAGAACUCCGAUUGCGAAGGCAGCCCACAAGGCCUUUACUGACGCUAAAGCUCGAAGGUGCGGGUAUCGAACA
rnacentral:rRNA from 1 species